CAAUAAGCGGAGGAAAAGAAACUAACAAGGAUUCCCCUAGUAACUGCGAGUGAAGAGGGAAAAGCUCAAAUUUAAAAUCUGGCGGGCUCUGUCCGUCCGAGUUGUAAUCUGGAGAAGCGUUUUCCGCGUCGGACCGUGCAUAAGUCUCCUGGAACGGAGCGUCAUAGAGGGUGAGAAUCCCGUCCAUGGCACGGACCACCGAUGCUUUGUGAUACGUUUUCAAAGAGUCGAGUUGUUUGGGAAUGCAGCUCAAAAUGGGUGGUAAAUUCCAUCUAAAGCUAAAUAUUGGCGAGAGACCGAUAGCGAACAAGUACCGUGAGGGAAAGAUGAAAAGCACUUUGGAAAGAGAGUUAAACAGUACGUGAAAUUGUUGAAAGGGAAACGCUUGAAGUCAGUCGCGUCCGACGGAACUCAGCCUUGCUUCGGCCUGGUGUACUUUCUGUCGGACGGGUCAACAUCAGUUUUGACCGGUGGAGAAAGGUAGGGGGAAUGUAGCGCUGUUUCGGCGGCGUGUUAUAGCCCCUUGCUGUAUGCAUCGGUUGGGACUGAGGACCGCAGCACGCCUUUUUGGCCGGGGGUUCGCCCCACGUACCGUGCUUAGGAUGUUGGCAUAAUGGCUUUAAGCGACCCGUCUUGAAACACGGACCAAGGAGUCCAACAUGCUUGCGAGUGUUCGGGUGGAAAACCCUUGCGCGUAAUGAAAGUAACAGUUGGGAACCUCCGCAAGGGGGUGCACCGACGCCCGGCCCUGAAGUUCUCUGACGGUGCUGCGGUAGAGCAAGUAUGCUGGGACCCGAAAGAUGGUGAACUAUGCCUGAAUAGGGCGAAGCCAGAGGAAACUCUGGUGGAGGCUCGUAGCGAUUCUGACGUGCAAAUCGAUCGUCAAAUUUGGGUAUAGGGGCGAAAGACUAAUCGAACCAUCUAGUAGCUGGUUCU
rnacentral:rRNA from 1 species